UACAGGGGGGGCAAGCGUUGUUCGGAAUUACUGGGCGUAAAGGGCUCGUAGGCGGCCAACUAAGUCACACGUGAAAUCCCCAGGCUUAACCUGGGAACUGCGUGUGAUACUGGAUGGCUUGAAUCCGGGAGAGGGAUGCGGAAUUCCAGGUGUAGCGGUGAAAUGCGUAGAGAUCGGCAGGAACACCCAGGGGGAAACCAGUCGACUGGGCAUCUACUGACGCUGAGGUGCGAGAGCGUGGGGAGCGAACCGG
rnacentral:rRNA from 1 species